CAGCAAGCAGCAAAAUCAGAGUCAUCAAGAUGGAGUCCCUGAAGACACCAUCAGCAUCAGGAGACACAAACAUGGCAGAGGAGAGAAAGGCACCAGCAGCAGCAAGCAGCAGAAUCAGAGUCAUCAAGAUGAAGUCCCUGAAGACACCAUCAGCAUCAGGAGACACAAACAUGGCAGAGGAGAGAAAGACACCACCAGCAGGAGGCAGCAAAGUCAGGGUGAUCGAGCUGGAGGCCCUGAAGACACCAUCAGCAUCAGGAGAGACAAUUGUGGUGAGGGCCAGAGACAUACCGGCGGGAGAGUAUGCAAUCAGGCUGGCCAGAAUAACAAAGGAAGACACAGCCAUUGCAAAGGAGAGAGAGCCAUCACCACCACCACCACCAGAAGCCCCCCGCCGACGUAGAAAAAAGAACUGGACAGACGCAGAAGCGCUCCUUCUUGUACAGCUGUACUCGGAGCAUUAUGCAGCUGUGUAGGAGCGUGGCAGCGUGCCACAGCACUCCACCCCUGGGAAGAGGAAGGCCUGGCACGACAUUGCCUGCCACCUGAGGGAGGCUUUUCCUGGGACACUGAGGACCGUGAGGGAUUGCCAGAAGAAGUGGUUCCAAUUGAAGGGUGCUGCCAAGCAUCAGAUCUGGGCCCACCAUCAAGCCCUUGAAUAUUCAGGCGACGGACCUCCCCCUCCUCCCCUCAGUCAGAUUGAAAGCUUGAUUGCCGACACAAUAAACAAUAAGCCUGAGCCCAGCGGCUGCCACGAUGGGCUUGCCCUACCGCCUUCCAACAAGGGGGCACCACCAGCCUGCAUGCCCUCAAGUCACAAGCAGGCAGCAGGAGGAUACAGCAGUGAUGCCCAAACAGCCUGCAACAUCACCCCCACAGCCUGCAACAUCACCACCACAGCCUGCAACAUCACCACCACAGCCUGCAACAUCACCACCACAGCCUGCAGCUUCACCCCCACAGCCUGCAACAUCACCACCCCAGCCUGCAGC